AUAACUCUAUGAUCGGCUGCC
rnacentral:siRNA from 1 species